AUGUUAACCUGUAAUUUCUGUGGUAAGGUAGUUCAGUCAUCAAGGGGCUACGUGCUUCAUUGUAAACUGCAUCGGAAUGAGCCACGUUGUUUCUUUCGGUGUAUUGAAGCAGGCUGCAAGCAGACAUACACCAGGUAUGGCUCGUUUAAGGCUCAUUUUUACCGAAGACACUGUGCCCCCACCCAUGUCACUGGUGUGGCGGUGGUUUCUUCGUUUGCAUGUGCAAUGGCGAUGUGUCAACGUCAGUGUCAGAACUCCAAAGAGUUAAUAGCUCAUCUGAAGAGCCAUAUUGUGGAAGGACACGUGGUCACUUGUCCAGUAAGAGGAUGCACAAAUACCUUUAGAGUUAAAUCAUCUUUUACUGCUCACAUGUCUCGUAAACACAGAGAGUUUUCAGACAGCAGCAUUGGUAAUUUAUAUAGAGAGUCUGCAUGUCAAUCAUCAUCUGUUCCAACCACAUCAGAUGACUUUGUACCCUUGAUUUCCGAGCCUGCUGCACAGUCUAUUACAGAUGAAGAUAACAUGGAAAUGCCCCCUGAAUUCUGUGAUCUUUUUCUGAGAAACGUUUUACUAUUCUACUUAAAAUUGCAGGGUCAGUUUCUACUGCCUGCUUCAACCAUACAGAACAUUGUGGAGGAAAUGCAGAACAUACAUGAGUUGGGACAGACAUACAGUUUGGGUAAACUUGCAUCACUGUUAAAAGAUGACACAUCAUUAUCAGAGGAGGACAUCAACAAAGUCUGCGAGUCUGUCAAAAGCUAUGAUCUUUUUUCUGCAUGUCAUACCGGGCCAUUGAGGACAGUGCACUCCAGAGCUCAGACCUUUAAAAAAGCCUUCAACUAUGUGGAACCAAAGAAAAUAUUUUUAGGGAGAGAUGAAAACAGAAAAGAUAGGUUUGCCUAUUAUGUGCCUUUAAGAGAGACUUUGAGAUGUCUGCUAGAGUCUGAUCUGUGGCAGAAAUCAGAAGAGCCCUCUACUGAGCCUCCUGCUGAUGUUCUGUGUGACAUAAGUGAUAGUAAGCUGUUUAAAUCAAAUGAUUUUUUUGGUCAAAACCCAUCAUGUCUCAAGCUAGUACUCUACCAGGAUGCCUUUGAAGUUGUUAACCCUUUAGGCUCUGCAAGGACAAAACACAAGGUAUUAGCUGUAUAUGCAUCAGUGGCAAACUUGCCACUUCAUGUACGCUCAGACACAGAUCACAUGUCUCUUGUCUUACUGUGCAGGGAGAAAGAUUUUAAAGAGUUUGGUCAUGCUAAUGUGUUCUCUGAAUUACUGGCAGACUUGAAAGAAUUGGAGGACAGUGGGAUUGUUGCAUCAGAUGAAACUAGAGUCAAAGGAACUUUGUUUUGCAUUGCUGGUGAUAAUCUGGGCUCUCACUGUAUUGGUGGCUUCACUGAAAACUUUAGUUCUUCAAAGUACUUCUGCAGGUACUGCCUGAUAACGAAAUCUGAAUUUCAGGGUGCUGACCCAAAUCUGUGUGGACCAGAACGUACCAAAGAGAACUACAACUCUGCUGUUGAUCGCCUCCAGAUUGACAACACACCAGACGUCGAAGGAGUGAAGUUCAGGUCAGUGUUCAAUUCACUGAAAUACUUCAACGUUUGUAUGCCAGGCUUGCCACCAUGUCUAGGUCAUGAUAUCUUUGAGGGAGUUUUGGCUUAUGAUGUGGCACUGUAUCUGAAAUACUUCAUAAAGACAAAAGCAUGGUUCACUUACUCCACUCUGAACCGACGCAUCAAACAGUUUAGUUACCAUGCCUCUGAUGCUUCUACAAAGCCAUCUGAGGUCAGUCCUCAAGCAGCUAAACUCUCAGGACAGGCUAUACAGAACUGGAACUUCCUCCGAUUGCUGCCUCUCAUAGUUGGUGACAUAGUGACAGACCCCACAGAUGAUGUGUGGAACUUAACUCUGCAGCUGAAAGAUAUUGUAGACAUGGUGUGUGCUCAGAAAAUUUCAGUGGCUCAGGUAGCAUAUCUUGAUAUUCUUAUUCAAGAAUAUUUAGAGUCAAGAAAAGCUCUGUUCCCAGAAUGCAACCUGAGACCAAAACACCAUUUUCUACGCCAUUACCCAGCACUGAUUCUGAAAUUUGGCCCACUGAUAAGAUUAUGGACAAUGCGCUUUGAAAGUAAGCGCAGUUAUUUCAAGAGGUGUGCCAGAAAUCUGAAAAACUUCAAAAACCUCUGCCAUACACUCUCUGAAAGACAUCAGAUGUUUCAAGCCUAUCUUGCAGCAGGGUCAUUGUGUCAGUCUGUCUUGAAAGUCAAAGAUGGUUCUCCAUUUUACUCAGUGCUGUACAGUAAAGCCAUUCAAGAAGCAGUUCAAAUGUUUGACUUAAAUGAAACCAAUACAAAGGUCACAGUAGAAAUGAUGUACAAGGGAACACAGUACAAGAAAGGACACUUCCUUGUCACAGGGGGCUCUGACUCUGUUGAGUUUGGUGAAGUAGUUCUCAUUUUGAUUAAGAAUGACAGUGUUUAUUUUCUGGUGUCGGUGCACGUGACAGAAUACCAUUCUCAGUAUCAUCUGCACUCAGUGAGAAAGGAAAAAGAAAAGAUGCAGUGUGUGAACAUCAUUGACUUAAUUGAUUUCUAUCCAUUAACAUCUUACAUGAAGUAUGGGUACCAAAUGGUUCCAUUGAAACACAGUGUGCUGUCACAAUAA
rnacentral:lncRNA from 1 species